AAAUUAAUUUAUUAAUUCAAUGUGAAUGAUGACAUCACUUGUAUGGAGACAGAUUUCCAUGCAGGAGACAGAUUUGGUGCAGGUACCAAAAUCAAUUGUCAGUACUCAGCUCCAAGGAAGCCAUUGAGGUGAUCCACAAUUGUUCAUGUUUUAAAAUAUCAUCCAAAUGAAAACACGAUAAUAUAAAAAUUACCGCAGAGAGCUGCAGAUUCUGGAUGACAUGCAGUUACUGAAGAAAUCUAACAGACAGCUAUUCAUAUGGCAACAAAUAGCUAAAAACAACUAGUCCAAACUAGGUAAACCUAAGGGGUAGCAAUGGAUUAGAGAGAAGAGGACACAUUUGAGAAUAUUCAGUACACUAUCUGGACAAAACGUUAAACAUCAAAUGGUCGUAGGGAGGAAGAAACAUAAGGGAAGAUUCAGGAAUGACUCACAGGUUUCUGGCGUGGGCAUGUGUGCUCACCGAGGUGAAUAAACACAAAGGAGGUAAAAGCUUGGGAGAGAAAGACACUAAGAUCCCUUGGGUAUUUGAAUUUAAGGCAUCUGUGAAACUAGUUCUUAUUCUGAAUAAAGUUGGAUGUAUAGGACAAUGCAGUUAUAAGCAAUAACUGGCUCAUAAAGAUAUGCAAGUUGGAGGCCAGGCACGGUGGCUCACACCUGUAAUCCCAGCACUUUGGGAGGCCAAGGCGGGUGGAUUGCCUGAGGUGAGAUGUUCGCAACCAGUCUGGCCAACAUGGUAAAACCCUAUCUCUACUAAAAAUACAAAAAAAUUAGCUGGGCAUGGUGGCAUGCGCCUGUAAUCCCAGCUACUCGGCAGGCUGAGGCAGGGGAAUUGCUUGAACCAGGGAGGUGGAGGUUGCAGUGAGCCGAGAUUGUGCCACUGCACUCCAGCCUGGGUGACAGAGUGGGACUCCAUCUCAAAAAAAGAAAAAAAAAAAGAUAUGGAAGUUGGAAAUAAGUUGUUAUUGAACUACCAAUAUAGAUGAGAUGAUAGCCCACAUAGAAAAGUAAAAAGUGAGAGAAGAAGAAAGCACUAAAAGACACUUAACAAAGAACUGGCCAUUAUAGGGAGCUUUCUAAAUAACGACAUUUAUGAAUCCCUAAAUAUAAUCAAUUCAGUAUGAUCUAUGUGAAUGGAGGGAAAUUAUAAUAUGCAUAAUAUGAGAUACCAAUACAAAAGUUAUUUCUUUUUGGUGGAUUCAUUUUGGUGGAUGCAUAGAGGAGAGAUGCAUUGAUAGAAGAUUUAUUUAUGUUCGCUAAAAUUUGGUUUGCUCUCCCAGGAGGCACAUUAACUUGGAUAAAAGGACAAAAUGGUACAGAAUGUGGCAGUCACUGUUAGUUGUCUAUUCAAUAUCCAUUUCUUCUUUACAAACCAACCUGAAUUUUUCUCAGUGGCAAUGUGCCUAGCUGAAAACUUUAUUUCCCCACCCACUCUGCACCUAUGAAUGGCCAUGGAACACAGUUCUGGCCAAUGAAAUACAAGUGAAAGUCAAAGGAUGAAACUUCUGUGGAAGCUCUUUAAAAGGCACAUAGACUCAAGUGACUGGAUGCUUUGUGCAUACCUUCUUCCUUCCUAGAUACAUCGUGUUGGAGGUGGAGCCACAGUAUUGUGACCACCAGGCCCCAAAAGCAUGGGCCACCUGCUUCAGCCUUGAUUAAACGAAGUGAAGGAAAAAAGGAAGUGGGCAGCCCAGAGUUAAGCUGGCCAUGACAAAUGAGCUCCCGUGUUUUCGUCUCCUAUUCCAAGCAAGUAGCCAGGCUAAUUGCCGCCUUACUUCAGGGAAGUCUGUGGCAGAAGCUUGAAAGCAAAUGACCUACUACACCUGCUUGUGUCCUGGUCUUCAAGAGCUUGGGUUCCUGAAGUGGAUUAUGCUGGAGGAACACAGGUAGAAGCAGAAGUAACAAAGGAGAGAAGGAGACUGCCCUACUGCCCUAUACCAGGAAGGUGUGGUGGUUUCCACAAUCAUCAAGGGGCCUGUGUCCUACUUCUAGCAGAACCUGGGGAAGAAGACAAGGAUUCUGCGGAGCCUAACUGUGUGGUGAAGCUAGGGAGGCUGUACCCUUGGCAACAGGGCUUCCAUUGUGAAGAAAGAUGCCUGCAGGCCAAGAAGAGCAGAGAAACAGAGUCACUGCCAUUCAACAGUUCAUGACAACUUCAACAAUAGGGCCACCAUAAUGAGCCAAAAAUUAGGAGCAAUUCUCCUGUGUUUUAAGGAACCACAAAGUCUCUGAGAGACUGAAGAAGAGAGAACACCCAAAUGACAAAUUAAAUUUACCUCCAGCAAGGUGGGAUUAAGGCUCACAGAAAUAUCCAGCACACUCUCCUCACAUCUACUGGGGUCCAAGGCCUCAACAGCACAGUCUCCUCAACCUGCUGCUCCAGACAUUUCGCUUUUCUUCCUCUGCUUGAAUCCUACAAUCGCAAUGCUUUCCUGCCUCUGUGUUUGCUUGGAAUUUUUUGUCCUUUGGCAAUUUAAUGCUUGUAUUCAUCCAUUUAAUAAUAAGUGCCCAUCUUUUCUAUCUUCAAAUACUUGCCCUUCAUAAGGUUCUCCCUGACCCCUCUGAAAAGCCAUAAUUUCCUCCUUUACAUCUCCAAGUUUUGUACUUCUCUUGGGACAUUUACCCUGUACUACUUUUUGUUAUCAUUUCACAUCUGCUCCUCCCAACAUCUUAAACAUUUAUUGAACAUCUACUAAGCAUCCUAAAGACAGUGACUGUUUCCCAAGUACCUAGCAUAACACCAUAUGCCAUUGACCUUAGGACACUAAACUGAACAGAGCACAGAGCCUGUCCUCAAAGUUCUCAAAGUCUAUGUAUCAUGCUCAGGGAUCACAGGAUUGUAUGUAGUAACUUCUCAGCCUUUGUUGAUCUUGAUUGUCAGCACUUUAAAGCUCCAUUCAGCUACUUAUGUAAAAUUUAAGCAAAAUGAGGAAGAUAAUUUCGUUGGAGAGAAAGCUUCUGGAUGCUUCAGAAUAUGCCACCUCACCUGAAUGGUAACCAUUACACUUGUAAAUAAGAUAAAAUAGCAAGAAAAAUAUAAACAUAUGCUUUGAUUAUUUCCUUUUUGAAAAUCAAUAAGAUCAUUUUUAUUUUCAAAGAAAAUGUGCAAAUAAAAAUAUUGUUACCACUUA